rnacentral:rRNA from 1 species
UACAGAGGUCUCAAGCGUUGUUCGGAUUCAUUGGGCGUAAAGCGUACCGAUAGGUGGUUUUGCAAGUCAGAAGUGAAAUCUCCGAGCUCAACUCGGAAUCUGUCUUUUGAAACUGCAAAAACUAGAGGGGCAAAGAGGAAGCUGGAACGAACGGUGUAGUAGUGAAAUGCGUUGAUAUCGUUCGGAACACCAAUAGCGAAGGCAGGCUUCUGGGUGCCACCUGACACUGCUAGGACGAAAGUGUGGGGAGCGAAUGGG